AUUCCAAGGUUUGAUUUUAAGUAAACAAGGUGGGGAAAAGUAUUGUUUGAAUGGCACUUGGAUCUAAGCAAAGACAGUCAAGAACCACUGCUUUAAAGGAAACAAUUCACCUGAGAGAGCACAGCUCAUUUAGAGAAAGAAAUGAAGUGGACAGUUCACCUCCUCUACAGAUGUUUCCAGUCAGCAGCUCCCAGUAAGCGGCCAAUUACUCUGGGCUUUUAUCCAAGAAUUUCAGGAUUGAAGGACUAUCUGCACUAUGAACUAAAUCUCUAAAUCACAGCAAUUUUUCGCCAUCUGUCUUUGAGAGGUUAUAGCUGCAGAGCUGAUCGACUGUAAGCAUAUACGAGAUAAAGGAUAAAGUUAUCCAAGAGCUUUCAGAGUGAAGUGCCUCCUGUCAGAACUGUGAGGGGCAUCUGCGUUUCAAUCCCAAUAAACAAUUCAAAAGAAAGAGAGAACGGUUUAAGACCCACA